rnacentral:rRNA from 1 species
GUGGGGAAUAUUGGACAAUGGGCGCAAGCCUGAUCCAGCCAUGCCGCGUGAGUGAUGAAGGCCUUAGGGUUGUAAAGCUCUUUCACCGGUGAAGAUAAUGACGGUAACCGGAGAAGAAGCCCCGGCUAACUUCGUGCCAGCAGCCGCGGUAAUACGAAGGGGGCUAGCGUUGUUCGGAAUUACUGGGCGUAAAGCGCACGUAGGCGGUUUGUUAAGUCAGGGGUGAAAUCCCGGAGCUCAACUCCGGAACUGCCUUUGAUACUGGCAAGCUAGAGUCCGGAAGAGGUAAGUGGAACUCCUAGUGUAGAGGUGGAAUUCGUAGAUAUUAGGAAGAACACCAGUGGCGAAGGCGGCUUACUGGUCCGGAACUGACGCUGAGGUGCGAAAGCGUGGGGAGCAAACAGGAUUAGAAACCCUGGUAGUCC